CCAACGCAAGCGGACCGCCAUGCUUUGUGGGGCCCUGCUUAAGGACCGGAACCCAACUGAAGUUACAAUCGCGUUAAUUCAAAACUCCUACUUAUGAUGCAAGCGAUCGACUGGAGGUCAUGGAGCGGUAAGUUAUUAGUCCUGCGAGGGUGUUGUGUCGAAAGUGCACCGGCAACAGCCGGCGAUCCAAAAGAUGAAGCACUUCGCCCUCGUCGCCGCUGCCUCCGCCGCUGUCACUGCCUCCUCCUCCGUUGCUCUCUCCGCUGCCGCCGAUUGUAGCGUUUCUAAUAAGACUAAUACCCAUAAGGGUUCGAUUUCGUCUGGAUCUAUAAGGGGCGUCCAAAAAAAGGGGAUAAUUUUUCCGAGGUUAGAUGGGCUCAGAUUCAUAGAAACGCUUGUGACGGCUCACAGAUAGAUCAUCUUUGUUUUAGUGUUCGGUAGAGAUGUGAUUUGAGAGAGGAAAGUUUAUCAGUUUUCUGAGGCUGUUGUUGUAAUCUAUUUGUAUUUUUGCAAGAAGUUAUGGUUUAGCAUUUGGUGUUUUAAAAUCCAAACAAGUGUUGGUAUUGUUAGUGCAAUUUUUGAUUUUGCGAC